rnacentral:rRNA from 1 species
GACGAACGCUGGCGGCGUGCUUAACACAUGCAAGUCGAACGGAAAGGCCCUGCUUUUGUGGGGUGCUCGAGUGGCGAACGGGUGAGUAACACGUGAGUAACCUGCCCUUGACUUUGGGAUAACUUCAGGAAACUGGGGCUAAUACCGGAUAGGAGCUCCUGCUGCAUGGUGGGGGUUGGAAAGUUUCGGCGGUUGGGGAUGGACUCGCGGCUUAUCAGCUUGUUGGUGGGGUAGUGGCUUACCAAGGCUUUGACGGGUAGCCGGCCUGAGAGGGUGACCGGCCACAUUGGGACUGAGAUACGGCCCAGACUCCUACGGGAGGCAGCAGUGGGGAAUAUUGCACAAUGGGCUGAAGCCUGAUGCAGCAACGCCGCGUGCGGGAUGACGGCCUUCGGUUUGUAAACCGCUUUCGCCUGUGACGAAGCGUGAGUGACGGUAAUGGGUAAAGAAGCACCGGCUAACUACGUG